AGUCCACGCCGUAAACGAUGUCGACUUGGAGGUUGUUCCCUUGAGGAGUGGCUUCCGGAGCUAACGCGUUAAGUCGACCGCCUGGGGAGUACGGCCGCAAGGUUAAAACUCAAAUGAAUUGACGGGGGCCCGCACAAGCGGUGGAGCAUGUGGUUUAAUUCGAUGCAACGCGAAGAACCUUACCUACUCUUGACAUCCACGGAAUUUGGCAGAGAUGCCUUAGUGCCUUCGGGAACCGUGAGACAGGUGCUGCAUGGCUGUCGUCAGCUCGUGUUGUGAAAUGUUGGGUUAAGUCCCGCAACGAGCGCAACCCUUAUCCUUUGUUGCCAGCGAUUCGGUCGGGAACUCAAAGGAGACUGCCGGUGAUAAACCGGAGGAAGGUGGGGAUGACGUCAAGUCAUCAUGGCCCUUACGAGUAGGGCUACACACGUGCUACAAUGGCGCAUACAAAGAGAAGCGACCUCGCGAGAGCAAGCGGACCUCACAAAGUGCGUCGUAGUCCGGAUCGGAGUCUGCAACUCGACUCCGUGAAGUCGGAAUCGCUAGUAAUCGUGGAUCAGAAUGCCACGGUGAAUACGUUCCCGGGCCUUGUACACACCGCCCGUCACACCAUGGGAGUGGGUUGCAAAAGAAGUAGGU
rnacentral:rRNA from 1 species